rnacentral:rRNA from 1 species
GAUGAACGCUGGCGGCGUGCUUAACACAUGCAAGUCGUACGGAAAGGCCCAAGCUUGCUUGGGUGCUCGAGUGGCGAACGGGUGAGUAACACGUGGGUGAUCUGCCCUGCACUUCGGGAUAAGCCUGGGAAACUGGGUCUAAUACCGGAUAGGACGAUGGUUUGGAUGCCAUUGUGGAAAGUUUUUUCGGUGUGGGAUGAGCUCGCGGCCUAUCAGCUUGUGGGUGGGGUACUGGCCUACCAAGGCGUCGACGGGUAGCCGGCCUGAGAGGGUGAUCGGCCACACUGGAACGGAGACACGGUCCAGACUCCUCCGGGAGGCAGCAGUAGGGCAUCUUCCGCAAUGGGCGAAAGCAUGACGGAGCAACGCCGCGUGAGUGAUGCAGGUCUUCGGAUCGUAAAACUCUGUUAUUAGGGAAGAACAUAUGUGUAAGUAACUGUGCACAUCUUGACGGUACCUAAUCAGAAAGCCACGGCUAACUACGUG